rnacentral:rRNA from 1 species
UACGUAGGGUGCAAGCGUUGUUCGGAGUUACUGGGCGUAAAGGGUGUGUAGGCGGUUGUUUUAAGUUUGGUGUGAAAUCUCCCGGCUCAACUGGGAGGGUGCGCCGAAUACUGAAUGACUUGGAGUGCGGGAGAGGAAAGUGGGAAUUCCGUGGUGUAGCGGUGAAAUGCGUAGAUAUCAGGAGGAACACCGGUGGUGUAGACGGCUUUCUGGACCGUAACUGACGCUGAGACACGAAAGCGUGGGUAGCAAACAGG